rnacentral:rRNA from 1 species
GACGAACGCUGGCGGCGUGCCUAAUACAUGCAAGUUGAGCGCUGAAGGUUGGUACUUGUACCGACUGGAUGAGCAGCGAACGGGUGAGUAACGCGUGGGGAAUCUGCCUUUGAGCGGGGGACAACAUUUGGAAACGAAUGCUAAUACCGCAUAAAAACUUUAGACACAAGUUUUAAGUUUGAAAGAUGCAAUUGCAUCACUCAAAGAUGAUCCCGCGUUGUAUUAGCUAGUUGGUGAGGUAAAGACUCACCAAGGCGAUGAUACAUAGCCGACCGGAGAGGGUGAUAGGCCACAGUGGGACUGAGACACGGCCCAAACUCCUACGGGAGGCAGCAGGAGGGAAUCUUCGGCAAUGGACGAAAGUCUGACCGAGCAACGCCGCGUGAGUGAAGAAGGUUUUCGGAUCGUAAAACUCUGUUGGUAGAGAAGAACGUUGGUGAGAGUGGAAAGCUCAUCAAGUGACGGUAACUACCCAGAAAGGGACGGCUAACUACGUGCCAGCCGCCGCGGUAAAAC